rnacentral:pre_miRNA from 1 species
AGUGGGAUAGCUGGGUCAAAUGGGGGUUCCUUUCAAGUUUUCAAAGGAAUCUUCAAACUGCUUUCCAGAUUGGCGGUAACAAUUUGCAGUCCCACAAGCAAU